rnacentral:rRNA from 1 species
GAUGAACGCUGGCGGCGUGCCUAAUACAUGCAAGUCGAGCGAAGCGGGGACGGGUGAGUAACAUGUGGGUAACCUCCUAUAAGACUGGAUAAACUUUGGGAAACCGUAGCUAAACCGGAUACUUACAGAUGGAUCCGCGCUGCAUUAGCUAGUUUGGAGGGUAACGGCUUACAAAGCCAACGAUGCAUAGCCGACCUAAGAGGGUGAUCGGCCACACUGGAAAUGAGACACGGUCCAGACUCCUACGGGAGGCAGCAGUGGGGAAUCUUCCGCAAUGGGCGAAAGCCUGACGGAGCAACGCCGCGUGAGUGAUGAAGGUCUUCGGGUCGUAAAGCUCUGUUAUUAGGGAAGCGGUACCUAAUCAGAAAGCCACGGCUAACUACGUGCCAGCAGCCGCGGUAAUAC